CUGGAGUUGGCUCAUUAGCCCAAACGCACCACGACAGCCACGCACGGUGCCAGACGGGUGUCUGGUUUGGCGCGCGACCAGCCGAGCGCCCGAGCACCUCGUCUCCGUCCCUCGAUUCCCAAUUGAAUCGAUCCCCUUUCCCAACCUAGCGCUAGGGCUGGCUCCGGCGGCCGACCUCUCCUGCCUCUCCCUCGGCCCCUUCCCUCCAGUCGGCCGUCUCCCUCCCCUUCGGCGUCCAGUCCUCUCCUCCGUGGUUCCGUCAGGCGUCGGGCCGCCAAUCCGCCUCCGGCCUCCCCUGCUCCCCAGUGCGGCGGCAGUCGGCAGCUCCCUCCGGACACCGUCCUCGAGCCUCCCUGGCUCGGCGGCUCCCCGGCGUGGCGGCAGCGCCUUCAGCAGGCAGCAGACUAGCAGUCCGGCCUCCCUCCAUUCUGCAAUCUGCAUCCAUCCACACAAUGAAGAAGAAGGAUGUUAGCAUAUUUGAAAUGUGGGACAGAUCUUGAAAGACAAGCAAAGUAACUUCUACAUCCACACCAACUCUAUUGAGGUUGAGAGCAAUCUGCAGCUAGCACUAGUGCAAACACCCCGACCCCAAUUGUAGAAGACGAUGAAGCGGUUGAUGAAGAUGAUGAAUCAAUGCCCCAAUUUGAAGCAGAUUUGGCAGCUCUGAAACGUGAUCCUGGCAAGCGACUUCCCAUAUAUUUGUAUCAUGCCAAUGAUCAGGAUAGAGUUCGAAGAAGAUACAUUGACUUGGCUGCUUGUCAACCAAAGGAUCAUAAGUUUGAGAUCAGAGAUUUAGUGGACAUCCUUGUCCCUUUUGCCCUACUUGGUUUAAGGAUCAUAAGUGGCUUGAGGAUUACUCCCUCCGUCCUUUAAAGAGUGUACUUCCAACUUUCUUGGAAAGUCAAACUUUUUUAUA